rnacentral:rRNA from 1 species
UACGUAGGCAGCAAGCGUUGUUCGGAUUUACUGGGCGUAAAGGGUGUGUAGGCGGCCUGUUAAGUUCCGUGUGAAAUCUCCCGGCUCAACCGGGAGGGUGCGCGGAAAACUGGCGGGCUAGAGUACGGGAUGGGAGAGUAGAAUUCCUGGUGUAGCGGUGAAAUGCGUAGAUAUCAGGAGGAAUACCGGUGGUGUAGACGGCUCUCUGGACCGUAACUGACGCUGAGACACGAAAGCGUGGGUAGCAAACAGG